GCCUUCGUGGUGUAAUUGGAAGCAUACUAGACAUGUAUUCCAGAGGUCCAAGGUUCAAGUCCCGGAGAGGGCA
rnacentral:tRNA from 1 species